UACAAGCACUGUUCCCUCUAAGCUGCGCGCGUGCGCAAUUGCGCACUGCUGACACGGUCUCCGCGCACAGAAAAUCUGCGCUGCGCACAAAAAAAAAAAAAAUCCAACCUAAAUUGGAAAUAAAAUAAACACAAUUCAUUUUGUGCUAUUUUUCAGUGUGAGUCAGUGAGUGACCGGUGACUGGCUGCUGCAGCCAAUGAUGCGAUUCACACACGUAUUUACCAUAGAGCAGCCCUAUUCAAUUAGCGGCCCGCGGGCCACAUGCGGCCCGAAAGCAACCCUCGAGUGGCCCUAAAGCAACUGCCGAGUGACUGGGACUUGGGUCCAAGAAAAACAGAAAAACAUUUUUCAGUAACACUGACAAGUUCUUACAAAAAUUCCAACAUUAUUGCAAACAUUGAAUGCAACACUUACCGUAACCUAGCAACUAACCCACAAUGCAUUGUGUUGAGGAGUCGCGUUUGAAAAGUUAACAUUAGCAGUUCUAUACAGGCGAAAAUGGCAGCAUGUCUUUUUCUAUCCUGAAACGACAAAUCGGCGAGGAAAACCGUCGGUUUAAUCCUGCGUGGACUGACAAGUGUAUAUUUAUUUACCACCAGGUCCGAACGCCAAACCAAUGCGUUUACUCUGCAACGAGUGCUUUGCAGCGCUGAAAGAUUAUAAUGUCCGAAGACACCACAUUGGAAAAACAUGCCGCGUUUCGGACAAACUUUCCCGAGGGAUGUCAUGAGAGAGCGGCUAUAAUUCAGAGUUUGACUGCAUCUUACAACCGGAGCUGUACUACAAUGAAGCGGACCUGCACAGCUCAGGAAAGGGCCACGAAAAAGAGGCUGUUCACAGACUCAGAAACUGUGAAGGACUGCAUGUUGGCUGUCGUGGAUGAAGUUUUAACGGACGAUAAAGUUAAGACGAGUGUGGUAUCUGCUAUCAAACAGGUCUGACAAGUCAAACAUUCGCAGGGUUGAUGUUCUCGCCACAGAUGUCUUCGAGACAUGGUAAGUGCAACAAAGCAGCGUGCUGUAGCAGACACUAAAGGUAGUUUUGUGUAUUUAUGUGACUAUUUUCUGUUCACUUAUUAUAAGUUUAAUAUUUAAGAAAGACAUUUUGUUUCGACAGUUAUUUCACUUAGUUGCACUUUAUUAUGCACUUUGAUGUCAGCUUUACUUCAUUUCAAAGGGAUAGUAACUAUCACUGUGCCUACUGUUUAUUUUUUUGAUUAUAUGCACUGAAGAUGCGACUGUCUCAGAUGAGACCAAAUAUGGACAGGGACAAACUCUGUUUUUUGUUAUUUCAAAAGAAGAAAAAUGUCUCAAGUUCUGAAAAGUUACUGUUAAGCAAGUUACUUUUUAAUGCACUUCGAGAUGUGACCAAAACAAAAGGUGGUGUUUCUAAACGGCACUUAGUUUUUAUGUUCGUAUGCACCUUAACCUGUGCUUAUAUUUACCUAUCAAAAUGUGUUGAAGUUGUGUGUUUGAAAUGUAAAAUUUAAAGAAGCAGUAUUUCAGCACAGGUUUAGUUUAAGUACUGCUCUUCUAUUGUGUUUAUGUCCUUUUGGAUGUGGCAAUACGUUAGUAAACAUCCAGUGUGUUUGUUAUCUUAUCUGUUUAUUUUAAAUGGUUAACUUUGCUCACUGUCUGCUAAAAACGUCCGGCCCAGCUCAUGUUCUUAGUCUGAAAAUCCGGCCCGAGUCAAUUUUUAAUUGAAUAGCCCUGCCAUAGACUGUAUAUAAUGGUAUUUACGCAGCUAAUCAACGUCAGGCGUCCUUAUGUGCAGCCACCAUUGUUCUCAUAGAUAUGAAUGAGUAGAUAGGACACGCCCCUUUGAGCUGCGUGCUACAGCGAGGCUAAGCUAGUGGGGGCAAAGUUUCAGUGCAUUCCGUUGAUGUAGACGGCGUGAAAACGGAAACAACAAGUAUGCCGGCUCACUGUGCUGCAUACAAUUACACACUGCGUCGUACGAUUGAGACAAGGAAACUUGGAAUGACUUUUCAUAGGUUUCCCAGAGACUAUGGGUUGAGGAGGAAUUGGAAGUUUGUCGGCUUAGACCUGGUGUCAUUCCAUCAGUGUUAAACUUCCCGGCUCAUCUUGGAAGAGCACGUGCCAGAAAGACCACGACCAAGCAGCCUUGAGAUCUUAGACACCGUCUCCCUGAGGUCCCUCUCUAUCUCCCCAGACAUCCACCAACCACUGGAACACAUCUCCAAAGUUCUGCCGGGCCAGCUCAGCUUCCCCUCAGAAGAAGUGCCGCCACCUGCCAGAUGAAGGAGCCUUUUGAGAGGCAGCUGGCAUCGUGAUUGGACUGUACUUUGGUCUGUUCCAAUCCAGCUUCAGUUCCAGAGACGGCAGGCGGGACGAGUCAACAGAGGCCUGGUGGACGAAGGCAUGCAGCUGAGUACAAUCCAGAAAACAACAGAGGAGGAGUGCAGCGGCCCAGAGCCAGAACAAACAGAGUAGCAUGGUAUGUCUCUUAGAAAACAUCAUAGUAUAGCCUUUGGUAUGAAAAAACGCCAUCAUAUACAUCGUAUAUUGUACAAAUAACAAGUCAAAGGAAAGAGACAUACAUUGUAGAAUUGUAGUAAUUGUGGGCUGACUGAUUUACUGAUUAUCAGUAUUUUAUUUUUUACUGAUUUAUGGUAAUAAAUACAUUUUAAAAUGGCGCUACUUUGGCUCUGAACCUUUAUCUACCUGUGGUCGCUCUGUCUUCUGGAGUGAUUUGAUUGGUUAUAUGUCACAAAUAAAACUCCUUUAACUUAACAUCUGUAAACAAAACAAAUAUGUAUCAACAAAGUUUUCUGUUAGAGUUUGUGUCCUUCUAAGUUUAACUCAAGAUUUUAAAUACUUUCAUUUACUGCAAAUGA